rnacentral:rRNA from 2 species
AGAUUAAGUUAUUAAGGGCGCACGGUGGAUGCCUUGGCACUAGAAGCCGAUGAAGGACGUUACUAACGACGAUAUGCUUUGGGGAGCUGUAAGUAAGCUUUGAUCCAGAGAUUUCCGAAUGGGGAAACCCAGCAUGAGUUAUGUCAUGUUAUCGAUAUGUGAAUACAUAGCAUAUCAGAAGGCACACCCGGAGAACUGAAACAUCUUAGUACCCGGAGGAAGAAAAAGAAAAUUCGAUUCCCUUAGUAGCGGCGAGCGAAACGGGAAGAGCCCAAACCAACAAGCUUGCUUGUUGGGGUUGUAGGACACUCUAUACGGAGUUACAAAGGACGACAUUAGACGAAUCAUCUGGAAAGAUGAAUCAAAGAAGGUAAUAAUCCUGUAGUCGAAAAUGUUGUCUCUCUUGAGUGGAUCCUGAGUACGACGGAACACGUGAAAUUCCGUCGGAAUCUGGGAGGACCAUCUCCUAAGGCUAAAUACUCUCUAGUGACCGAUAGUGAACCAGUACCGUGAGGGAAAGG